rnacentral:rRNA from 1 species
CAUGCAAGUCGAGGGGCAGCAUGUUGGUUGCUUGCAACCAAUGAUGGCGACCGGCGCACGGGUGAGUAACGCGUAUCCAACCUACCCUUGUCCAUCGGAUAACCCGUCGAAAGGCGGCCUAACACGAUAUGCGGUUCUCAGCAGGCAUCUAACGAGAACGAAAUGUGAAGGAGAAGGAUGGGGAUGCGUCUGAUUAGCUUGUUGGCGGGGUAACGGCCCACCAAGGCGACGAUCAGUAGGGGUUCUGAGAGGAAGGUCCCCCACAUUGGAACUGAGACACGGUCCAAACUCCUACGGGAGGCAGCAGUGAGGAAUAUUGGUCAAUGGACGAGAGUCUGAACCAGCCAAGUAGCGUGCAGGAAGACGGCCCUAUGGGUUGUAAACUGCUUUUAUAGGGGGAUAAAGUGUGCCACGUGUGGCAUAUUGCAGGUACCCUAUGAAUAAGGACCGGCCAAUUCCGUGCCAGCAGCCGCGGUAAUACGGAAGGUCCAGGCGUUAUCCGGAUUUAUUGGGUUUAAAGGGAGCGUAGGCCGUUUGGUAAGCGUGUUGUGAAAUGUCGGGGCUCAACCUGGGCAUUGCAGCGCGAACUGCCAGACUUGAGUGCGCAGGAAGUAGGCGGAAUUCGUCGUGUAGCGGUGAAAUGCUUAGAUAUGACGAAGAACUCCGAUUGCGAAGGCAGCCUGCUGUAGCGCAACUGACGCUGAAGCUCGAAAGCGUGGGUAUCGAACAGGAUUA